AAUGAAUUGCCUGAUAAAAGGAAUACCUUGAUAGGGUAUAUCAUAUAAUUUUAAUAUUAUAUUCAUUA
rnacentral:tRNA from 1 species